UUGCCAGACUCCUACGGGAGGCAGCAGUGGGGAAUAUUGCACAAUGGGGGAAGCCCUGAUGCAGCGACGCCGCGUGAAGGAUGAAGUAUUUCGGUAUGUAAACUUCUAUCAGCAGGGAAGAAAAUGACGGUACCUGACUAAGAAGCCCCGGCUAACUACGUGCCAGCAGCCGCGGGAAUACGUAGGGGGCAAGCGUUAUCCGGAUUUACUGGGUGUAAAGGGGGCGCAGACGGCGAUGCAAGCCAGGAGUGAAAGCCCGGGGCCCAACCCCGGGACUGCUCUUGGAACUGCGUGGCUGGAGUGCAGGAGGGGCAGGCGGAAUUCCUGGUGUAGCGGUGAAAUGCGUAGAUAUUAGGAAGAACACCAGUGGCGAAGGUGGCUUUCUGGACUGAAACUGACGCUGAGGCACGAAAGCGUGGGGAGCGAACAGGAUUAGAUACCCCCGUA
rnacentral:rRNA from 1 species